UUUCCAUAUGUUGAUGACUGAAAGACCAUGACAUUCUGGUAAUCAGACUUCCCUUGAAAUAAGAUCUUCUCCACUUUUAAGGAGUGUGCCUCUCCAGGCCACAUUGGGCUAAUCUCAGAGAACCAACCAGGAAUAACAGAGGAUAUAUAAUCAUUAUUACUGUUGUUGUUGUCAGUGUUACCCUCUGUCUCCAUAGCGACAGUGGUAGGAGAGACCCCAUUCUCUUCAUCUUCUCUAGGUCUCUUGACAGGCAAAUCAUUGGACACAGCAACACUUUCCUCAGCCAUAAGGACGACACUGUUUCUAUGAGCGUCUUUAGAGAGAACCCAAAAGGCCAAAACCCCCUAAAAACCUAAAGAGAAGGAUGAAGCAAAAGGAGCAAUGAAGUGAAGCCACACAAUCAGGGUUGGGUGUGGCUUUAUAAAG
rnacentral:misc_RNA from 1 species